ensembl:lncRNA
GCUCUAUCGCGGGGCGGAUUUUUCCCCUUUCUGUCAGACUCUGACUUUAAAAGAUGUCUGAGCGCCCAGGCGGCGGUGGCGGUGUGCCAAUGGGUGUGGGGAGGCGGAAGAUACAGUGCUGUGGGGACGUGGCUGUGAGGAGUAUCGCGUGUGGUGCAACUAUCGCAGCAGCUGCCCAGGCAAGUAAAUGGAUAUCUUUGUCAGUUCUUACCAUCCUGCAGUGUUGUUAUGGUCACCUUGAUAUUGCAUCGAGCAAAUCAAGUCCUAAACAUUUGUUCAACUUUUUACCUGUGUGUGGUCGGGGAUAGAGCUACCACUUCCUAGAAUUGAAGGAUGGGGCAGGGCCUCUGGUGCUGAGCCUGAGCCCCCCCCCGGCUCCAAAUACUUGUACAGAAGUGCUUACAGAACUCCUGCUCUAGGUGACACCACAACCAAAGCCGCA